CAGGAUCACCCAACCUAUCAGCUGGCAAUAUCCUUUAUUACGCAGCAAGCCACAUCAUCGCCAAAUUAUUAGAAAAUCCUAUAUUUAAUUUCUAUCUCUUUAUAGUAUAAAACAAUAUAACAUCAUAUAAAAGGAGAAAGACCUCAAAGGUAAAAGUACGUUAUUCUAUUAUACUACUCAAGUUCUAAGCAAUUCAUUAUUUUUGCAGGUCUAGUCAAUCACAGCACAAUUCUGUUUUCCGAUCGCAUCAAUUUUAAUCAAUAAAAAAUAGAUAAAUUGUAAUUUAAUUAUAACAUUUUAACAUUCUAUAAAAUUUUUAUCUCCUGCAUUACAUUAUGUGUUUGAUAAUAAAAAUGAAACUUAUAAAUAGAGAAAUUACUACUUAGUCCUUAUUGUAUGGAAAAACUCACUAAUUAGUCCCUCGAUUUUGAAAAAUUCAUUUAAACGUCCCUAACAUUUUAAAAAGUCUAUUAGUUAUUCCCUUUGUUAAUUUUUAUGUUAAAUAUUUUACUAUUAGUCUUUAUAAUUUUGAAAAACUUAUUAGUUAGUCCCUCAAAUUUUUAAAAAGUUUACUAAUUAAUCCCUCUGGACGCCUUAACACCUAGUUUGUCAUCAAGACUAGCCCUUCCCCGAAUAGAUUGAGUCUCGAUACAAAGUUAGUAUUUAUCUUUUAUUACGCAGCAGGCCACAUCAUCACCAAAUUAUUAGAAAAUCCUAUAUUUAAUUUCUAUCUCUUUAUAGUAUAAAACAAUAUAACAUUCAUAUAAAAGGAGAAGGAUCUCAAAGGUAAAGGUACGUUAUUCUAUCAUACUACUCAAGUUCUAAACAAUUCAUUAUUUUUGCAGGUCUAGUCAAUCAUAGCACAGUUCUGUUUUCCGAUCGCAUCAAUUUUAAUCAAUAAAAAAUAGAUAAAUUGUAAUUUAAUUAUAACAUUUUAACAUUCUAUAAAAUUUUUAUCUCCUGCAUUACAUUAUGUGUUUGAUAAUAAAAAUGAAACUUAUAAAUAGAGAAAUUACUACUUAGUCCUUAUUGUAUGGAAAAACUCACUAAUUAGUCCCUCGAUUUUGAAAGAUUCAUUUAAACGUCCCUAACAUUUUAAAAAGUCUAUUAGUUAUUCCCUUUGUUAAUUUUUAUGUUAAAUAUUUUACUAUUAGUCUUUAUAAUUUUGAAAAACUUAUUAGUUAGUCCUUCAAAUUUUUAAAAAGUUUACUAAUUAAUCCCUCUGUAUCAAGAGUAUUUUAGAUUUGUUUAUAAUACUUAACAACUAAAAUUAACAGAGAGAUUAAUUAGUAAAUUUUUUAAAAC
rnacentral:lncRNA from 1 species